rnacentral:rRNA from 1 species
UACAGAGGGUGCAAGCGUUAAUCGGAAUUACUGGGCGUAAAGCGUGCGUAGACGGUAGCGUAAGUCGGGUGUGAAAGCCCCGGGCUCAACCUGGGAGUGGCAUUCGAGACUGCUCUGCUAGGGUGCGGAAGAGGGGAGCGGAAUUUCCGGUGUAGCGGUGAAAUGCGUAGAUAUCGGAAGGAACACCAGUGGCGAAAGCGGCUCCCUGGUCCAGCACCGACGUUCAGGCACGAAAGCGUGGGGAGCAAACAGG